rnacentral:rRNA from 1 species
UACGUAGGGGGCAAGCGUUGUCCGGAUUAUUGGGCGUAAAGAGCGUGUAGGCGGUUUGGUAGGUCCGCUGUGAAAACUCGAGCUCAACCUCGAGACGCCGGUGGAAACCAUCAGACUAGAGUCCGGAAGAGGAGAGUGAAUUCCUGGUGUAGCGGUGAAAUGCGCAGAUAUCAGGAGGAACACCGAUGGCGAAGGCAGGUCUCUGGGCAUUAACUACGCUGAGGAGCGAAAGCAUGGGGAGCGAACAGG